AGGUUCUGAGUUGCAUCCUGAAAUGCUUUUAACAAAAGGACUUUCAUAGCAAUUUUGUAAUGUUCACUGACAUGAAAUACAUCAAAAGUCAUCUUCCUUUGGCCCUGUUUCUCCCUAAUUUUCAUGCUGCUAUUAUAAGUUAUCCAGAGAAUUCACCUAUAUAUUAUGAAUCAAACUGGCCCCAGAGGUGAUAUGAUUUAAACUAGAGCUUUUGGUAUUCUUUCAUUUCAUGUUUAUUAAAAUUAUAACCAAAUGCUGAAUAAAUUAUCAGAGAAUAGCAUACAGCAUUAAGGCAAAAAAGGCAAGGUAUAUUCUAUUUUAUAAAUAUCUUACUGUGUCUAAUACUUACACUAUACUUAUUUUUGAAUAGUCUGUUUUGUUUAAUAAGCAUUUAUCUAUUGUUAAUGUCUUUGGAGAAUUCAUCUUGGGGUUUAUACUGAAGAUAAAUGCAGGCGUGUGAGGGUUUAUGAAAAAUGUCUCAGCAAGUGACAGGAAGCCUGAUAUGAGUUACCACAGUCCGCUUCACAUGUGGGGCAAUCCACUACUUGUCUUGCAUUUAUUAUAUUUUCUUGCUAGGCGUUUUCUUUUUCUUUUUUUGAGACCCUUUGAUACUAUAUACUUUUAAAUACCAAACAUCGACAGUAAAUCUGAAAAGAAUGCAUGAUGUGGAUAAAGAGACAAAACCACUGAUGUAAAAUGUAGCUACAAUAAAAUAAAGAGAAGACACAAAGAUUUUUUUUUUUUUUAAUGGUGUGUGCAUGAGGAAAAGGAAUCAGAAUUUAAAAGGAAUUAACAGAACAACACCUGCGUGUCCCAAAGAUAUGAUGUUCUCUUAGCUCACCAGGGUGAUGUACAUAUUAUUUAGAGAACCAUUCAAAGCCACAGUCAGAAAUUCUCCCAAGAAUAAAUGGAAUUCUCACAAAACAAAGUGUCAUUGUCUUGCAAGGAAAGCAAAUUGUGUGCAUAGAGGUAUAUAUCUAAUCUUACCUAAUCUUUUGUGGCUUAUUCCUGGGACGAUAAUAAAUAAUGUAUUUUGAGUGUGGGGAGAGGUUAUGGAAGUCGAGUAAAUCGCUGACAACCCCAUGUGACCUAUCAGCCAGGUUCCCAAGAUAGGUUUCUUUCGUUUAUUUUCUAAUUAGCAACAACUUCUCCUUUCCUCUGUCAUGUGUUUUCCUCAGCCCACGGUAUGAACCGAAGGCAGAUCUGUUACAAACUCUAUUGUAGAAUCUUCAGUAUGUCAGUAGUAGCUGGAAUUAAAUUAGAUUUCAACUCUCACAAAUUAAUGAGUAACCUUGAGGUGUUUGAAUGUAUCUGGUAUGUCAAUAACGUAAUGUGCAACAGAAGAAGGGUGAACUUUGCUCAUACACCAUGUGGAGGCUUUCCCCUGUGAGUUUUAUAUGGUGAAUUAUUUACUGGUUAUUGAAUUAAUCAGACCAUUUUUACUUUUUGUCACUUUUAAAAUCUGAUAUUUAAAAUCAGCUUAUGCACCUAAUUGAAUGGAUAUCACGUACAGAUCUUCUCCUCAGUGAGCUGCUCUUGCUUGUUUAAUACUGAAACUGAAAAAUGAAAUAAAAGCACAUUUUCCCCUCAGCAUCAGCAGGACAGCCCGGCAAGAAGGCACUGUGCUGCGGAUGCCAUGUGCCACGAAGGAGUGUGAGAGGGAAAGGGAGAUGGGCUGGAGUGCAUCAGUCUGCCUGCACUCAAGGGCUGAAUGAGUUUGAAACAUGACCAAGCCUGAAUGGAAUAGUGGUCAGAAAGCCAGGAACAAUUACUUCAGAUUACAAAAUGCUUGAGUGAUUUACUUCACAGGACAACUGCACAGUCUCCUUGUGCUGAAGGACUAUCAAUACUAUAUUUGGACAAAAUUUGAUGAGAGGAACUGAGAAUGGUGAGGGGGUGGGGGGGCAGAGGAGAGAGAGAUUCGCAUUGUGCAAGAUGAAAGCAACAAAGUAAGUGAAUAAAAUGUGUUUC
ensembl:lncRNA